rnacentral:misc_RNA from 1 species
UGGGCUUGACAUGCAGGGUGAAACCCGUGAAAGCGGGUGCUCUUCGGAGCCUGCACAGGUGGUGCAUGGCUGUCGUCAGCUCGUGCCGUGAGGUGUUGCCUUAAGUGGCGCAACGAGCGCAACCCCUGUCCUUAGUUGCCAGCGGGUGAUGCCGGGAACUCUAGGGAGACUGCCGGUGCCAAACCGGAGGAAGGUGGGGAUGACGUUUACGUGCACUU